rfam:Cicer arietinum chromosome Ca4, whole genome shotgun sequence.
CUUGUAGAGUUUAUUGGCAUUCUGUCCACCUCCCUUAACUAGAUAUUUUUCUAAAUAUAUCGGAGGUGGACACACUGCCAAUUGAACUCUGUUAG